rnacentral:rRNA from 1 species
GAUGAACGCUGGCGGCGUGCCUAAUACAUGCAAGUCGAGCGAACGGACGAGAAGCUUGCUUCUCUGAUGUUAGCGGCGGACGGGUGAGUAACACGUGGAUAACCUACCUAUAAGACUGGGAUAACUUCGGGAAACCGGAGCUAAUACCGGAUGAUAUUUUGAACCGCAUGGUUCAAAAGUGAAAGACGGUCUUGCUGUCACUUAUAGAUGGAUCCGCGCUGCAUUAGCUAGUUGGUAAGGUAACGGCUUACCAAGGCAACGAUGCAUAGCCGACCUGAGAGGGUGAGCGGCCACACGGGAACGAGGAAAGGGUCCAGACCCCUACGGGAGGCAGGAGUGGGGAAUCUUCCGAAAGGGGCGAAAGCCUAACGGAGCAACGCCGCGGGAGUGAUGAAGGUUUUCGGAUCGUAAAACUCUUUUAUUGGGGAAAAAAAUAUGUGUAAGUAACUGUGCCCAUUUUGACGGUACCUAAUCAGAAAGCCCCGGCUAACUACGG